UACGAAGGGGGCUAGCGUUGCUCGGAAUCACUGGGCGUAAAGCGCACGUAGGCGGACUCUUAAGUCAGGGGUGAAAUCCUGGAGCUCAACUCCAGAACUGCCUUUGAUACUGGGAGUCUUGAGUUCGGGAGAGGUGAGUGGAACUGCGAGUGUAGAGGUGAAAUUCGUAGAUAUUCGCAAGAACACCAGUGGCGAAGGCGGCUCACUGGCCCGAUAUUGACGCUGAGGUGCGAAAGCGUGGGGAGCAAACAGG
rnacentral:rRNA from 1 species